ensembl:lncRNA
GCGUGGGGUGAGCGGCUGCCGUGGGGCUGGGCGGGACCCGUGGGGCUGCUGAGAUCCGUGGGGCUGCAGUGAGCCGUGGGGCCUACUGAGGUCUGUGCGGCCUGCCGAGAUCUGUGGGGCCUGCAGUGAUCCAUGGGGCUGCUGAGAUCUGUGGGGCUGCUGAGAUCUAUGGGGCCUGCAGUGAUCCAUGGGGCUGCUGUGAUCCAUGGGGCUGCUGAGAUCUAUGGGGCUGCUGUGAUCUGUGGGGCCUCCGUGAUCCAUGGGGUCUACAGUGAUCUGUGGGGCCUGCAGCGAUCUACGGGGCUGCUGAGAUCUAUGGGGCCUGCAGUGAUCUAUGGGGCUGCUGAGAUCUAUGGGGCCUGCAGUGAUCCAUGGGGUCUACAGUGAUCUGUGGGGCCUGCAGUGAUCUGUGGGGCUGCUGAGAUCCAUGGGGCUGCUGAGAUCUGUGGGGCCUGCAGUGAUCUGUGGGGCCUGCAGUGAUCCAUGGGGUCUACAGUGAUCUGUGGGGCUGCUGAGGUCUGUGCGGCCUGCAGUGAUCUAUGGGGCCUGCUGAGAUCUAUGGGGCUGCUGUGAUCUGUGGGGCCUGCAGUGAUCCAUGGGGUCUACAGUGAUCUGUGGGGCCUGCUGAGAUCUAUGGGUCUGCUGAGAUCUGUGGGGCUUACUGAGAUCUAUGGGGCUGCAGUGAGCCAUGGGGCCUGCUGAGAUCUAUGGGGCCUGCAGUGAUCCAUGGGGCCUGCUGAGAUCUAUGGGGCUGCUGUGAUCUGCGGGGCCUGCUGAGAUCUGUGGGGCUGCUGAGAUCCGUGGGGCCUGCUAUGACCUAUGGGGCCUGCUGAGAUCUGUGGGGCCUGCCGUGAUCUGUGGGGCCUGCUGUGAUCUGUGGGGCCUGCUGAGAUCUAUGGGGCCUGCUGCGAUCUAUGGGGCUGCAGUGAUCUGUGGGGCCUGCUGUGAUCUGUGGGGCCUGCAGUGAUCCAUGGAGCCUACAGUGAUCUGUGGGGCUGCUGUGAUCCAUGGGGCCUGCUGUGAUCUGUGGGGCCUACUGAGAUCUGUGCGGCCUGCUGAGAUCUGUGGGGCCUGCUGUGAUCUGUGGGGCUGCUGAGAUCUAUGGGACUGCU